AGAAGCCAUUUUUGUGACGGUAUGUGCAGAAGAAGCGCCGGCUAACUACGUGCCAGCAGCCGCGGUAAUACGUAGGGCGCGAGCGUUGUCCGGAAUUAUUGGGCGUAAAGAGCUCGUAGGCGGUUUGUUGCGCCUGCUGUGAAAGACCGGGGCUUAACUUCGGGGUUGCAGUGGGUACGGGCAGACUAGAGUGUGGUAGGGGUAAUUGGAAUUCCUGGGGUAGCGGUGGAAUGCGCAAAUAUCAGGAGGAACACCGAUGGCGAAGGCAGGUUACUGGGCCAUUACUGACGCUGAGGAGCGAAAGCGUGGGUAGCGAACAGGAUUAGAUACCCUGGUAGUCCACGCUGUAAACGUUGGGCACUAGGUGUGGGGCCUUUUCCACGGGUUCUGCGCCGUAGCUAACGCUUUAAGUGCCCCGCCUGGGGAGUACGGCCGCAAGGUUAAAACUCAAAGGAAUUGACGGGGGCCCGCACAAGCGGCGAAGCAUGCGGAUUAAUUCGAUGCAACGCGAAGAACCUUACCAAGGCUUGACAUACACUGCGAUGUGCCAGAGAUGGUGCAGCCUUCGGGGUGGUGUACAGGUGGUGCAUGGUUGUCGUCAGCUCGUGUCGUGAGAUGUUGGGUUAAGUCCCGCAACGAGCGCAACCCUUGUCCUGUGUUGCCAGCAUGUUGUGGUGGGGACUCACGGGAGACUGCCGGGGUUAACUCGGAGGAAGGUGGGGAUGACGUCAAAUCAUCAUGCCCCUUAUGUCUUGGGCUUCACGCAUGCUACAAUGGCCGGUACAGAGGGUUGCGAGCCUGUGAGGGUGAGCUAAUCCCUUAAAGCUGGUCUCAGUUCGGAUUGGGGUCUGCAACUCGACCCCAUGAAGUCGGAGUCGCUAGUAAUCGCAGAUCAGCAACGCUGCGGUGAAUACGUUCUCGGGCCUUGUACACACCGCCCGUCACGUCACGAAAGUUGGUAACACCCGAAGCCCGUGGCCUAACCUUUGUGGGGGAGCGGUUAGAAGGG
rnacentral:rRNA from 1 species